GGUUGAAAAUUCAAAGGAAUUGACGGGGACCCGCACAAGCGGUGGAUGAUGUGGUUUAAUUUCGAUGCAACGCGAAAAACCUUACCCACCUUUGACAUGUACGGAAUCCUUUAGAGAUAGAGGAGUGCUCGAAAGAGAGCCGUAACACAGGUGCUGCAUGGCUGUCGUCAGCUCGUGUCGUGAGAUGUUGGGUUAAGUCCCGCAACGAGCGCAACCCUUGCCAUUAGUUGCUACGAAAGGGCACUCUAAUGGGACUGCCGGUGACAAACCGGAGGAAGGUGGGGAUGACGUCAAGUCCUCAUGGCCCUUAUAGGUGGGGCUACACACGUCAUACAAUGGCUGGUACAAAGGGUUGCCAACCCGCGAGGGGGAGCUAAUCCCAUAAAGCCAGUCGUAGUCCGGAUCGCAGUCUGCAACUCGACUGCGUGAAGUCGGAAUCGCUAGUAAUCGUGGAUCAGAAUGUCACGGUGAAUACGUUCCCGGGUCUUGUACACACCGCCCGUCACACCAUGGGAGCGGGUCUCGCCAGAAGUAGGUAGCCUAACCGUAAGGAGGGCGCUUACCACGGCGGGGUUCGUGACUGGGGUGAAGUCGUAACAAGGUAGCCGUAAAGGGCGAAUUUUGCGGCC
rnacentral:rRNA from 1 species